CGGACGGGUGAGUAAUGUCUGGGAAACUGCCUGAUGGACGGGGAUAACUACUGGAAACGGUAGCUAAUACCGCAUAACGUCGCAAGACCAAGAGGGGGACCUUCGGGCCUCUUGCCAUCGGAUGUGCCCAGAUGGGAUUAGCUAGUAGGUGGGGUAACGGCUCACCUAGGCGACGAUCCCUAGCUGGUCUGAGAGGAUGACCAGCCACACUGGAACUGAGACACGGUCCAG
rnacentral:rRNA from 1 species